UUUUUUAACCCUAGCGGUCAAUAGGUCAAACAUCUCGUUUAAUGCCCAAAUUAGCGUCGCCGCCGCCACUAGCCUCCUCGUAGCACCGUCGCCACCUCUUCCGACGAGCACUGCCGCGGAGUGGUGCUUCCCUUCGAAGGCGCGCCUCAUGAAGAUCACGCCCCACGCCUCCCGGCAACCAUAGUCCUUCGAUCCCCUAGCAUAGCCAGCUCGGAGGCCCCCUCCUCCUCACGUGCGAGAUCACGGCCGAUGCCUAACCGAGGACUUCUCCUCCGCGACCAAGUCUGCUGCGUCAUCGCUCUCUUCACCAGCUGGAUCGGACCGCCAGCCACCACAACAGAAUCGAAGUCAGCGGCCGCCGCCUUCCUCGCCCACGGGAUCGGACGCCACUCGUCAAGGUCAGUCAAUUGCUUCAAGAUGCGAGGCUGCCAGCUCCUGAUGACUCAUGCAUUGUGUUGUGCACAUGGUGAGAAACUGAGCACUGAGGACUGAGCACGAGGAUGUUUCUACUACCGGGGCUUGUCCUGCGUCAGCCACUCAGCCAUCAUCAUGUAAAAUAGGUUUAUGCCGGAGAAGCACAAGGAAUGGACAGAUUUUGACGCGAGGAUCUAUGCAGAUUAUUAGGAAUCUAGGCUUGAGCUAUUGCUCUGUUCAUUGCAAGAUGAGAUGAUGGUGGCAUUUCUUGGUUGAAUGCGCUUCUAAACAGUUUCUCUUUAUGAAUGUACAUGGGUUCUUGUGAUAAACAAUAUUCAUGACAAACAUAAUGAACCAGUUUAUUUUUA